rnacentral:rRNA from 1 species
AUGCUUAAUCGUACUCAUUCGUUCUCGUCCUUCUUCCAGAACUCCAUGGCGUUUUUUGAUCUAAACCUACCUCCAGUAGACUUAGAGGACGGCGGCGGCGAAGGGGAGGCGUUUGGACGUGGGCACGAUGGGACUGCCGACGGCGGAGUGGGCGCCGGAGGACCACAAGUUGGAGCUCGCGUCGUCGGCCUUCCUCCGCUAGGUCUAGCAGGACGCCGGCGAGGAGCUUUUGACCCGAGCCGCGGAUCGCUCCCAUCAAGCUCAAGCGGAGGACGCACUCAUGGGCGGCUCGGUCUUGCCGGUCGUACACAAGCUGUUGGAUGGCUCGGCGGGAGUGGCUUCACCGGGCAUGAAGUUUUCGGCGCGCAUGACGGAGGUGCUCUCGGCGCGCACGACGGCGGUGCGUUCUGGGCGCACGACGGGGGUGCUCUCGGCGCGCACGACGGCGGUGCGUUCAGGGCGCACGACGGUGAUGCUCUCGGCGCGCACGACGGCGGUGCGUUCAGGGCGCACGACGGUGAUGCUCUCGGCUCGCACGACGGCGGUGCAUUCAGGGCGCACGACGGCGGUGCGUUCAGGGCGCACGACGGUGAUGCUCUCGGCGUGCACGACGGCGGUGUGUUCAGGGCGCACGACGGCGGUGCGUUCAGGGCGCACGACGGUGAUGCUCUCGGCGCGCACGACGGCGGUGCGUUCAGGGCGCACGAUGGCGGGCGCGCCGGAGCAAACAGCGGAAGUGCGUUUGGCCACGACGUCGGUGGUCAUCAAGACAUGGACGCGAAUGACGGCCACGGCCAUGUCUUUGGCGAGGACGAUGCAGCAGCCAGCGGUGAUGAAGAGAAUGGCACAGGAGACACUCAAGACAUGGGUGAUCAGGGAAACGACGCAGCCGACGGCCACGACACCGGCAUUGAUCUAAAUGUCAUGGCCAAUAAGAAGAGGCGGGCAUUUUACACCGACGACGAUAAGCGUUCGUUCUACACAGCCAUUUUGGAGAUGAAUGGUCGUGGUCCGUUGAAACAUGGGGUGACUAGAGAAUUGUCAGCUCGAAUGAAAGUGCCGGCAAGGGUUCUUCGGCGGGUAUGGAAUAAUGGUAGGCGAGGUGGUGGUGUGAAUGCGGUUAUCAACAGGAAGCCGGGUAGAGUUGGUAGAAAGCGCAUUACGCUAGACUCUGUUGCUCUAGCGGCCAUCCCUCCGAGACACCGCACGACGAUUCGAGAUGUUGCCGGUGCAAUGAACAUGUCGAAGACCACCGUUCACAAGCUGUUGAAGGAGCAUGAGUUACGCAAACACACCAAUGAGCUUAAGCCUUUGCUAACGGAGGAAAACAAGAAAGCACGUAUCAUGUAUUGCAUUUCAAACCUAGAACCUGCUAGUAUGCCGGAGAACCCUAUCUUCAAGGAUUCAUACAACGUCAUCCACAUUGAUGAAAAAUGGUUUUAUCUCACAAGGAGAAGCCAAGGAAUUUAUUUGGGCAUUAACGAGCCGAACCCGUGA